UUGGAGUGCGAUGGCACGAUCUUGGCUCACUGCAGGCUCUCCCUCUCGGGUUCACACCAUUCUCCUGCCUCAGCCUCCUGAGUAGCUGGGACUACAGGUGCCCGCCACCAUGCCUGGCUAAUUUUUUGUAUUUUUAGUAGAGACGGGGUUUCACCAUGUUAGCCAGGAUGGUCUCGAUAUCCUGACCUUCUGGGAGUAAACUCAUGGAAAUGGGAGCAGGAGUGUGGGUCCUCCAUGGCCCAUUGCAGUCGGCUGGAGUGCCGUGGCGCGAUCUCAGCUCACCGCAACCUCCGACUCCUGGGUUCCAGUGAUUCUCCUGCCUCAGCCUCCCGAGUAGCUGGGAUUACAGGCAUGUGCCACAACACCUGGCUAAUUUUUUUUGGUAUUUUUAGUGGAAACGGGGUUUUGCCAUGUUGGCCAGGCUAAUCUCAAACUCCUGACCUCAGGUGAUACAACUGCUUGGCCUCCCAAAGUGCUGGGAUUACAGGCGUGAGCCACCGUGCCUGGUCUAUAUUUGUUUCUUUCGUAUUGCUGCAUGUAUGGCAAUGAUGCCUACACUUUGUACAUAGUAAGUAUUCAAGCAAUUUUGCCGGGCUGUCAGGAUAAAUGUAGAUGUUGCUACAAAGACAGGAUCAUUUCUGAUUUGAAGGUAACAUAACCGGGAGAGAGUUCCAGCUCAUGAAUUUGCCUGAACUGGAAGCUUCCCCUGGGAUUAUUGCCCUGGUGAAACAGAGUCCUUGUCUGCAUUUUUUUCAGUGUCCUCAGUGGCAUAAUUUGCCAAUUUGAUUUAAAUAUUGGUAGCCAAAGAAGGCAAAGGUAUUAUUAUAAAAGAAGGUGGUCAAUGGAACCAUGGUGUUUUCUGGACAAAGCAAAGACACUACAUUUUUUGUCCAGAAGUAGGUAAAGGUUAUAUUAAGUGAUGAUAUCUGAUUACUCAAGUGAAGAUUAUUUGACCAUGCUUUGGAAGCCUGAUAUGAUUUGGCUCUGUCCCCACCCAAAUCCCAUUUUGAAUCGUAAUCCCCACAUGUUGGAGGAGGGGCCUGGUGGGAGGUGAUUGGAUCAUGGGAACAGAUUUCCUCCUUGCUGUUCUCAUGAUAGUGAGUAGUUCUCAAGAGAUCUGUUGGUUUUAAAGUGUUGCACUUCUCCCCUCGCUCUCCCUCUCUCUCCUGCUCCACCACGAUAAGAUGUGCCUGGCUUCCCCUUUGCUUUCUGCCCUGAUUGUAAGUUUCCUGAGGCUUCCCAAUCAUGCUUCCUGUUAAGCCCGUGGAUCUAUGAUUCAGUUAAACCUCUUUUCUUCGUAAAUUACCCAGUCUCAUGUAGUUCUUUAUAGCAA
rnacentral:lncRNA from 10 species